rnacentral:rRNA from 1 species
CAGCAGCCACGGUAAUACGGAGGGCGCGAGCGUUACCCGGAUUUACUGGGCGUAAAGGGCGUGUAGGCGGCCUGGGGCGUCCCAUGUGAAAGGCCACGGCUCAACCGUGGAGGAGCGUGGGAUACGCUCAGGCUAGAGGGUGGGAGAGGGUGGUGGAAUUCCCGGAGUAGCGGUGAAAUGCGCAGAUACCGGGAGGAACGCCGAUGGCGAAGGCAGCCACCUGGUCCACUUCUGACGCUGAGGCGCGAAAGCGUGGGGAGCAAACCGGAUUAGAUACCCCAGUAGUCCCUGUCUCUUAUAC